CACGUAGGGCGCGAGCGUUUGUCCGGAAUUAUUUGGGCGUAAAGAGCUCGUAGGCGGCCUGUUGCGUCCGCUGUGGAAAUCCGCCCCGGCUCAACUGGGCGGGGUCGAGCGGAUACGGUGUGGCUCGAGCAAGCUAGGGGGCAAGUGGAAUUCCCGGUGGUAGUGGUGGAGUGCGUAGAUAUCGGGAGGAACACCAGUGGCGAAGGCGGUUGCCGUGGAGCUUUGCUGACGCUGAGGCGCGAAAGCGAUGGGGAGC
rnacentral:rRNA from 1 species